AGGGUUUGAUUCUGGCUCAGGAUGAACGCUGGCGGCGUGCUUAACACAUGCAAGUCGAACGAAGCGCUUAAAUGGAUUUCUUCGGAUUGAAGUUUUUGUGACUGAGUGGCGGACGGGUGAGUAACGCGUGGGUAACCUGCCUCAUACAGGGGGAUAACAGUUAGAAAUGACUGCUAAUACCGCAUAAGCGCACAGUGCUGCAUGGCACAGUGUGAAAAACUCCGGUGGUAUGAGAUGGACCCGCGUCUGAUUAGCUAGUUGGUGGGGUAACGGCCUACCAAGGCGACGAUCAGUAGCCGGCCUGAGAGGGUGAACGGCCACAUUGGGACUGAGACACGGCCCAA
rnacentral:rRNA from 1 species